rnacentral:rRNA from 1 species
GGUUAAGCGACUAAGCGUACACGGUGGAUGCCCUGGCAGUCAGAGGCGAUGAAGGGCGUGCUAAUCUGCGAUAAGCGCCGGUAAGGUGAUAUGAACCGUUAUAACCGGCGAUACCCGAAUGGGGAAACCCAGUGUGAUUCGUCACACUAUCAUUAACUGAAUCCAUAGGUUAAUGAGGCGAACCGGGGGAACUGAAACAUCUAAGUACCCCGAGGAAAAGAAAUCAACCGAGAUUCCCCCAGUAGCGGCGAGCGAACGGGGAGGAGCCCAGAGCCUGAAUCAGCAUGUGUGUUAGUGGAAGCGUCUGGAAAGGCGCGCGAUACAGGGUGACAGCCCCGUACACAAAAGCGCAUGUGCUGUGAGCUCGAUGAGUAGGGCGGGACACGUGGUAUCCUGUCUGAAUAUGGGGGGACCAUCCUCCAAGGCUAAAUACUCCUGACUGACCGAUAGUGAACCAGUACCGUGAGGGAAAGGCGAAAAGAACCCCGGCGAGGGGAGUGAAAAAGAACCUGAAACCGUGUACGUACAAGCAGUGGGAGCACCCUUUGGGUGUGACUGCGUACCUUUUGUAUAAUGGGUCAGCGACUUAUAUUCUGUAGCAAGGUUAACCGAAUAGGGGAGCCGGAGGGAAACCGAGUCUUAACCGGGCGUUAAGUUGCAGGGUAUAGACCCGAAACCCGGUGAUCUAGCCAUGGGCAGGUUGAAGGUUGGGUAACACUAACUGGAGGACCGAACCGACUAAUGUUGAAAAAUUAGCGGAUGACCUGUGGCUGGGGGUGAAAGGCCAAUCAAACCGGGAGAUAGCUGGUUCUCCCCGAAAGCUAUUUAGGUAGCGCCUCGUGAAUUCAUCUCCGGGGGUAGAGCACUGUUUCGGCUAGGGGGCCAUCCCGGCUUACCAACCCGAUGCAAACUGCGAAUACCGGAGAAUGUUAUCACGGGAGACACACGGCGGGUGCUAACGUCCGUCGUGAAGAGGGAAACAACCCAGACCGCCAGCUAAGGUCCCAAAGUCAUGGUUAAGUGGGAAACGAUGUGGGAAGGCCCAGACAGCCAGGAUGUUGGCUUAGAAGCAGCCAUCAUUUAAAGAAAGCGUAAUAGCUCACUGGUCGAGUCGGCCUGCGCGGAAGAUGUAACGGGGCUAAACCAUGCACCGAAGCUGCGGCAGCGACACUGUGUGUUGUUGGGUAGGGGAGCGUUCUGUAAGCCUGUGAAGGUGUGUCGUGAGGCAUGCUGGAGGUAUCAGAAGUGCGAAUGCUGACAUAAGUAACGAUAAAGCGGGUGAAAAGCCCGCUCGCCGGAAGACCAAGGGUUCCUGUCCAACGUUAAUCGGGGCAGGGUGAGUCGACCCCUAAGGCGAGGCCGAAAGGCGUAGUCGAUGGGAAACGGGUUAAUAUUCCCGUACUUGGUGUUACUGCGAAGGGGGGACGGAGAAGGCUAUGUUGGCCGGGCGACGGUUGUCCCGGUUUAAGUGUGUAGGUGUGUGUUCCAGGUAAAUCCGGUUCACUUUAACACUGAGGCGUGACGACGAGGCACUACGGUGCUGAAGCAACAAAUGCCCUGCUUCCAGGAAAAGCCUCUAAGCAUCAGGUAACAUCAAAUCGUACCCCAAACCGACACAGGUGGUCAGGUAGAGAAUACCAAGGCGCUUGAGAGAACUCGGGUGAAGGAACUAGGCAAAAUGGUGCCGUAACUUCGGGAGAAGGCACGCUGACACGUAGGUGAAGUGAUUUACUCAUGGAGCUGAAGUCAGUCGAAGAUACCAGCUGGCUGCAACUGUUUAUUAAAAACACAGCACUGUGCAAACACGAAAGUGGACGUAUACGGUGUGACGCCUGCCCGGUGCCGGAAGGUUAAUUGAUGGGGUCAGCGCAAGCGAAGCUCCUGAUCGAAGCCCCGGUAAACGGCGGCCGUAACUAUAACGGUCCUAAGGUAGCGAAAUUCCUUGUCGGGUAAGUUCCGACCUGCACGAAUGGCGUAAUGAUGGCCAGGCUGUCUCCACCCGAGACUCAGUGAAAUUGAACUCGCUGUGAAGAUGCAGUGUACCCGCGGCAAGACGGAAAGACCCCGUGAACCUUUACUAUAGCUUGACACUGAACAUUGAGCCUUGAUGUGUAGGAUAGGUGGGAGGCUUUGAAGUGUGGACGCCAGUCUGCAUGGAGCCGACCUUGAAAUACCACCCUUUAAUGUUUGAUGUUCUAACGUGGACCCGUUACCCGGGUUGCGGACAGUGUCUGGUGGGUAGUUUGACUGGGGCGGUCUCCUCCUAAAGAGUAACGGAGGAGCACGAAGGUUGGCUAAUCCUGGUCGGACAUCAGGAGGUUAGUGCAAUGGCAUAAGCCAGCUUGACUGCGAGCGUGACGGCGCGAGCAGGUGCGAAAGCAGGUCAUAGUGAUCCGGUGGUUCUGAAUGGAAGGGCCAUCGCUCAACGGAUAAAAGGUACUCCGGGGAUAACAGGCUGAUACCGCCCAAGAGUUCAUAUCGACGGCGGUGUUUGGCACCUCGAUGUCGGCUCAUCACAUCCUGGGGCUGAAGUAGGUCCCAAGGGUAUGGCUGUUCGCCAUUUAAAGUGGUACGCGAGCUGGGUUUAGAACGUCGUGAGACAGUUCGGUCCCUAUCUGCCGUGGGCGCUGGAGAACUGAGGGGGGCUGCUCCUAGUACGAGAGGACCGGAGUGGACGCAUCACUGGUGUUCGGGUUGUCAUGCCAAUGGCACUGCCCGGUAGCUAAAUGCGGAAGAGAUAAGUGCUGAAAGCAUCUAAGCACGAAACUUGCCCCGAGAUGAGUUCUCCCUGAGACUUAAAGUCUCCUGAAGGAACGUUGAAGACGACGACGUUGAUAGGCCGGGUGUGUAAGCGCAGCGAUGCGUUGAGCUAACCGGUACUAAUGAACCGUGAGGCUUAACCUU